GACGGAGGGUGCUAGCGUUGUUCGGAAUUACUGGGCUUAAAGGGUGCGUAGGCGGCGCAGAAAGUUGGGUGUGAAAUCCCUCGGCUCAACCGAGGAACUGCGCCCAAAACUACUGUGCUUGAGGAAGAUAGAGGUAAGCGGAACUUACGGUGGAGCGGUGAAAUGCGUUGAUAUCGUAAGGAACACCUGUGGCGAAAGCGGCUUACUGGGUCUUUUCUGACGCUGAUGCACGAAAGCCAGGGGAGCAAACGGG
rnacentral:rRNA from 1 species